rnacentral:lncRNA from 1 species
CCUGGUCUAACCUGGUCAUUGAAGUGUCUAUGAUAGUUAAUACCCCUAAAAGCCAGAGAAAGUUCAAGUGUUAGGAGGUGUCAUCUCAGAUGUUGAAGAGGGGUUGAGUUUCCUCAGUGUGUUAGGAGGUGUCAUCUCAGAUGUUGAAGAGGUGUCAGGUUGAGUUUCCUCAGUGUGUUAGGAGGUGUCAUCUCAGAUGUUGAAGAGGUGUUGGGUUGAGUUUCCUCAGUGUGUUAGGAGGUGUCAUCUCAGAUGAUGAAGAGGUAUCGGGUUGAGUUUCCUCAGUGUGUUAGGAGGUGUCAUCUCAGAUGUUGAAGAGGGGUUGAGUUUCCUCAGUGUGUUAGGAGGUGUCAUCUCAGAUGUUGAAGAGGUGUUGAGUUUCAUCAAUGUGUUAGGAGGUGUCAUCUCAGAUGUUGAAGAGGUAUUGGGUUUCCUCAGUGUGUUAGGAGGUGUCAUCUCAGAUGUUGAAGAGGUAUUGGGUUUCCUCAGUGUGUUAGGAGGUGUCAUCUCAGAUGUUG